rnacentral:tRNA from 1 species
UGGGGUAUCGCCAAGUGGUAAGGCAACGGUUUUUGGUAUCGUUAUUCGGGGGUUCGAAUCCCUCUACCCCAUCCA